AUAGACAGCACCGCACAAGAGGAGAGAGAGCUAGAGAGCAUGCAAGCCAUGGAAACCCUAACAAGCUAUGCCAGAAAUUAAGAUCUACUGAAUGAGCACAACAAAAACUCAGAUUCAAUAGAUCUCAGCAGAGCAGGAGUAUUUCGAGCAAACUCCACUCGACCAGUCUUUGGAAAUCAUUUCUCAGAAGAUGCACAUGCCGUGUGUUGCUGCUGAUUUUUGAGUUUGUAAUCAACCAAACACUAUGCUUUUCAUAUGUUCAUCUCUGCACUUCUUCAGCUAUGUGAUAGCUGAGACAUGUUAAUUAGACAAUUAGCCAGAUUUGUAUUGGAAGAUGAAGAUGCAGCCAAAAGGGUCUGACGGACUCCUUUUACCCUACAUGGAAACCAGAACUACAUAGAGAUCCCUAGAGGCAUUGCAGUGGUUGGGACAAUGUAUGGGGUAACUAACUUCUUCAAUGUUUCUCUGAAUACAGUGUUAUGCUCUCACAUAAAUUUGAAGAGUUUUUAAUGUAUUGUUUGUUUACCAUGAAAGCAGUUGGUUAUGAUUGGAAAUACAAUUUAAGUUGUGCAGAGCCCUCCAAUGCAGUCUGGGAUUUUCAAAUCCAGUCUCUUUUUUUUAUCUUUCAUCACUCUCUCUCUUCACAGCUUGCUCAAUAAAAGGGAAAAUGAAGUUGUCAGUGUUGUAAAUACAAUUCUGGUGGUAUAUUCAAGGUGUAAGUGGUCACUGGUCAAGAAUAUGUGUGCUCUCAAAAGAAACAGAGGAAGCUGAAGAAUAGCCCAUAUUCUUCUCCAAACACAGACCUGGCUCUCUCCUGAUCCUUCGAGCUGAGGUUCAAUGUGGAAGGACGAGAAACCAACCAUGGUCUCAUGAGAAUUUUCAAUGAUCCUUCCAAGGAUAUAACGUUCUAUGUGGAGUUGAAAUACUUUCAUUUGUUUAAAGCUGCCAAAGAAGGAGGAUGGUUGGGACUACAAUACUGUUUAUAUAUGGUUUGAUUUCUUUCUACACCAUAAUACUCCUGCGUUACUGUCUCGACAGUGAGUUUGACCUCAAGACCUAUCCCGACAGUGCCCAAGCUGCGUUUCUACCACGUGACGUAUCUUUGUCUCGGUAAGGGGCUAAUAUUUUCAAAAAGUUCUGAAUCUACCUUUAUAGUAAAGGUUAUAAAAGUUAAGAACCAUAUAACAGAAAUAUGAUUUGCCUUUGGGCUUUCGAACAAAUGGAACAACUGAAAAGCUAUGGGUAGCAAGUAGAUCAGUUAGUAAAUCUCUCACUAAUAAAUCCCUAAUUGCUAUCA